GGAGUAGGACCGGUCCUUUGUUGCCACCAUUCUGAGCUUCGAACUAAAGAUCUUUACCAUCGGCUUGGAAAAAUGGAGUCCGUGAACAAGGGCUGCAGUUGGCGAGUUUAAAGACAUGGUUAACAAAUUGAAAAUUCAUUCGGAAAGAAGUUACCGCUAUGAGACAGAUACCAAUUAAUCAUGGUUCUUCAAGAGUUGCCCAAAACAAUAGUUCAUAUUCCUUGGUUGAAGAUAUUGGAGAAAGAAAAUAAGUUGAGAGRGAGGACUUUAUCAAUGUAUAGAACAAGAAGAGCAGGGUUUCAUAAUUCGGGGGUCAUCAUGGAAACAACCUCUACCCAUACGGGUAGAGUAUGGUUUGCUUACAUCAUACCCUCUUUAGACCCUGCCUCCUAGUGGGAUAUACUUACUAAGGGAUUCUGCUGCUAUAGAUGAUAAAUUGACCCAACGUUAUUUGACUUUGUUACACAUGCAUGAAUAAAAAGAGAAAUUGACCUUAAAAUA